AAAGAGGGGGGGCAAGGGGGGUCCCAAUAACAGCAAAACAGCAAAUUGAUUUGGCUUAUAACAGAUAACAAGGAAUUAAAAUGGACAAAAACAGAUAACAGUAAAUGAAAUAUUAAAAUAAGUCGGGUCCUUGACAAAUCCAGUAUUUCUUAUUACGGGUAUAAUCCUUUGUAAUGAAUUCCAUUUUCUAUGAACAUGGUUUUCAGAAUUAUGUAUUUGGUAUAUUCUUGUCCGUCCGUCGUCAACAUGUCGGACAUUGAUUCAAACAUUCUUUAACCAAUUUACAUAAAAUUUUGGGAAAUUGUUU
rnacentral:lncRNA from 1 species